rnacentral:rRNA from 1 species
CUCCUACGGGAGGCAGCAGUAGGGAAUCUUCGGCAAUGGGGGCAACCCUGACCGAGCAACGCCGCGUGAGUGAAGAAGGUUUUCGGAUCGUAAAGCUCUGUUGUAAGAGAAGAACGUGUGUGGGAGUGGAAAAUCCACACAAUGACGGUAACUUACCAGAAAGGGACGGCUAACUACGUGCCAGCAGCCGCGGUAAUACGUAGGUCCCGAGCGUUGUCCGGAUUUAUUGGGCGUAAAGCGAGCGCAGGCGGUUAGAUAAGUCUGAAGUUAAAGGCUGUGGCUUAACCAUAGUACGCUUUGGAAACUGUUUAACUUGAGUGCAGAAGGGGAGAGUGGAAUUCCAUGUGUAGCGGUGAAAUGCGUAGAUAUAUGGAGGAACACCGGUGGCGAAAGCGGCUCUCUGGUCUGUAACUGACGCUGAGGCUCGAAAGCGUGGGGAGCAAACAGGAUUAGAUACCCUGGUAGUCCACGCCGUAAACGAUGAGUGCUAGGUGUUAGGCCCUUUCCGGGGCUUAGUGCCGCAGCUAACGCAUUAAGCACUCCGCCUGGGGAGUACGACCGCAAGGUUGAAACUCAAAGGAAUUGACGGGGGCCCGCACAAGCGGUGGAGCAUGUGGUUUAAUUCGAAGCAACGCGAAGAACCUUACCAGGUCUUGACAUCCCGAUGCCCGCUCUAGAGAUAGAGUUUUACUUCGGUACAUCGGUGACAGGUGGUGCAUGGUUGUCGUCAGCUCGUGUCGUGAGAUGUUGGGUUAAGUCCCGCAACGAGCGCAACCCUUAUUGUUAGUUGCCAUCAUUUAGUUGGGCACUCUAGCGAGACUGCCGGUAAUAAACCGGAGGAAGGUGGGGAUGACGUCAAAUCAUCAUGCCCCUUAUGACCUGGGCUACACACGUGCUACAAUGGCUGGUACAACGAGUCGCAAGUCGGUGACGGCAAGCUAAUCUCUUAAAGCCAGUCUCAGUUCGGAUUGUAGGCUGCAACUCGCCUACAUGAAGUCGGAAUCGCUAGUAAUCGCGGAUCAGCACGCCGCGGUGAAUACGUUCCCGGGUCUUGUACACACGC